GUGACGAAGCGACGCCGCGUGGAUGAAGAAGGCCUUCGGGUUGUAAAAUCCUGUCAGGAGUUAAGAAAUAUAAAUUUGAGAAUAUCAAAUUUAUUUGACAAAGGCUCCAGAGGAAGCCACGGCUAACUCUGUGCCAGCAGCCGCGGUAAUACAGAGGUGGCAAGCGUUGUUCGGAAUUAUUGGGCGUAAAGAGCACGUAGGUGGGUUUGUUAGUCAGAUGUGAAAGCCUUCUGUUCAACGGAAGAAUUGCAUCUGAAACUACAAAUCUUGAGUAUAGGAGGGGAGAGUGGAACUUCUGGUGGAGCGGUGAAAUGCGUAGAUAUCAGAAGGAACGCCGGCGGCGAAAGCGACUCUCUGGCCUAUAACUGACACUGAGUGUGCGAAAGCUAGGGGAGCAAACGGGAUUAGAUACCCCGGUAGUCCUAGCCGUAAACGAUGGGCACUAAGUAGAGGGGUUUU
rnacentral:rRNA from 1 species